rnacentral:rRNA from 1 species
UACGGGGGGGGUAAGCGUUGUUCGGAAUUACUGGGCGUAAAGGGCUCGUAGGCGGCCAACUAAGUCAGACGUGAAAUCCCUCAGCUUAACUGGGGAACUGCGUCUGAUACUGGAUGGCUUGGAUUUGGGAGAGGGAUGCGGAAUUCCAGGUGUAGCGGUGAAAUGCGUAGAUAUCUGGAGGAACACCGGUGGCGAAGGCGGCUCGCUGGGACGUUACGGACGCUGAGACGCGAAAGCGUGGGGAGCAAACAGG